GACGAACGCUGGCGGCGUGCUUAACACAUGCAAGUCGAACGGUAAGGCCCUUCGGGGUACACGAGUGGCGAACGGGUGAGUAACACGUGGGUGAUCUGCCCUGCACUUCGGGAUAAGCCUGGGAAACUGGGUCUAAUACCGGAUAGGACCACUGCCUGCAUGGGUGGUGGUGGAAAGCUUUUGCGGUGUGGGAUGGGCCCGCGGCCUAUCAGCUUGUUGGUGGGGUGAUGGCCUACCAAGGCGACGACGGGUAGCCGGCCUGAGAGGGUGAACGGCCACACUGGGACUGAGAUACGGCCAAGACUCCUACGGGAGGCAGCAGUGGGGAAUAUUGCACAAUGGGCGCAAGCCUGAUGCAGCGACGCCGCGUGAGGGAUGACGGCCUUCGGGUUGUAAACCUCUUUCAGCACCGACGAAGCGCAAGUGACGGUAGGUGCAGAAGAAGGACCGGCCAACUACGUGCCAGCCGCCGCGGUAA
rnacentral:rRNA from 1 species